rnacentral:rRNA from 1 species
CCUACGGGAGGCAGCAGUGAGGAAUAUUGGACAAUGGGCGCAAGCCUGAUCCAGCCAUGCCGCGUGCAGGAUGACGGUCCUAUGGAUUGUAAACUGCUUUUGCACAGGAAGAAACAACGCUACGUGUAGCGUCUUGACGGUACUGUGAGAAUAAGGAUCGGCUAACUCCGUGCCAGCAGCCGCGGUAAUACGGAGGAUCCAAGCGUUAUCCGGAAUCAUUGGGUUUAAAGGGUCCGUAGGCGGUUUAGUAAGUCAGUGGUGAAAGCCCAUCGCUCAACGGUGGAACGGCCAUUGAUACUGCUAGACUUGAAUUAUUAGGAAGUAACUAGAAUAUGUAGUGUAGCGGUGAAAUGCUUAGAGAUUACAUGGAAUACCAAUUGCGAAGGCAGGUUACUACUAAUUGAUUGACGCUGAUGGACGAAAGCGUGGGUAGCGAACAGGAUUAGAUACCCUGGUAGUCCACGCCGUAAACGAUGGAUACUAGCUGUUGGGAGCAAUUUCAGUGGCUAAGCGAAAGUGAUAAGUAUCCCACCUGGGGAGUACGUCCGCAAGAAUGAAACUCAAAGGAUUGACGGCUGAGACGNGCGAGGACGACGACGAGGGAGGAGG